CAAAGCCUACGGGGGGCAGCAGUGGGGAAUAUUGCACAAUGGGGGAAACCCUGAUGCAGCGACGCCGCGUGAAGGAAGAAGUAUUUCGGUAUGUAAACUUCUAUCAGCAGGGAAGAAAAUGACGGUACCUGAAGAAGAAGCCCCGGCUAACUACGUGCCAGCAGCCGCGGUAAUACGUAGGGGGCAAGCGUUAUCCGGAUUUACUGGGUGUAAAGGGGGCGCAGACGGCGAUGCAAGCCAGGAGUGAAAGCCCGGGGCCCAACCCCGGGACUGCUCUUGGAACUGCGUGGCUAGAGUGCAGGAGG
rnacentral:rRNA from 1 species